rnacentral:rRNA from 1 species
UACGUAGGGCGCGAGCGUUGUCCGGAAUUAUUGGGCGUAAAGAGCUCGUAGUCGGCCUGUCGCGUCGGUUGUGAAAGCCCGGGGCUCAACCCCGGGUCUGCAGUCGAUACGGGCAGGCUAGAGUUCGGUAGGGGAGAUCGGAAUUCCUGGUGUAGCGGUGAAAUGCGCAGAUAUCAGGAGGAACACCGGUGGCGAAGGCGGAUCUCUGGGCCGACACUGACGCUGAGGAGCGAAAGCGUGGGGAGCGAACAGG